UAGGGAAUAUUAGAAAUGGACGAAAGUCUGAUCUAGCAACACCGCGUGUGCGAAGAAGGCCUUCGGGUUGUAAAGCACUUUUUGGAAGGAUUAGGAAGGAAUGUACUUCCAGAAUAAGUCUCGGCUAACUACGUGCCAGCAGCCGCGGUAACACGUAGGAGGCAAACGUUAUCCGGAUUUACUGGGCGUAAAGCGCGUGUAGGUGGUUCUGUAAGUAGGGCGUGAAAGCUCCUGGCUCAACCGGGAGAGGCCGUUCUAAACUACAGAACUAGAGGAUGGUAGAGGGAGGUGGAAUUCCAGGUGUAGCGGUGGAAUGCGCGGAGAUCUGGAGGAACACCAGUGGCGAAGGCGGCCUCCUGGACCAUUCCUGACACUCAGACACGAAAGCUAAGGUAGCAAACG
rnacentral:rRNA from 1 species